GGCCGGGGGGGAGGAGUCGAACUGACGUGUGAGGCAGGGGAGCCAGGCUGGGCUCCGGAGUAGCCCCUUCCCUCUCGUUUCGUCAGCACCGAGAGUGCCCUCGUUGGGAACGGGGGCCUUAGCGGUCUCGUCAUUUACGAAGCGGAUGGGCUCCUGGACUCUGGGGCCUCGAACUGUUUCGGAGACUGAUGGGCAAGAGCCCCUGCAGCGCAGGGGCCGGCGGGCAGGGGCCUUGGCCGGGUUUGGAGUUUGGCCGUCGGAGCUCGGCUGGUCAAAGCUUGCCGCUGGUCCCCGGCUAUCCGCAAGUUCCAAAGAGGGGAUGAUUCUUUUACCUGGGUCCCAGAUUGAUGGAGCAAAGCUGAAGAUGACUGUGAUUGACAAACAACAUGAAGAGAAAUAAACCUUACUAUGGUUCUGGAGCAAAACUAAACUUUAUGUAGAAGAGGGAUUUGAGAAGGAGGAAGUGCAGAGGCCA